GGUUACACUCAACGGGUGGCCAGGAUCUCUCCGUCGCCGGCAUCCAACAUCAGAUGGUGAUCAAAUCACGUCCGUUCAUAGCAGAAAAGAAGGCGCUCUCCCUCGAAUCCUCUAAACCCUAGAUCUAUAAAUACCCACGACGCAAAGACCGUGCCUCCCUCCCCAGAACUCGAAGCCGCUCGUCCGCGAAGUGAGUCGGAGCCGGGGUCUGAGAGCUCGAGACUGCUGAGACGAUGAGGGCGAAGUGGAAGAAGAAGCGCAUGAGGAGGCUCAAGAGGAAGCGCCGAAAGAUGAGGCAGAGAUCGAAGUAGAUGGGCAAAUGCAAGGGCGAUCUCUAUGGAUCCACCUCUCUUCAUUGGAUGUGCUAUUGGAAGCAUGUUCGUGUGGGGAUGUUGUUCCUGGGGAAAAAGCCUUGUCAUUUGUCUUUCCAAGUGCUUGUUUUGAAGCUUUGGGUAGUAGCGCAUCUGAUUUGUCUAGCAAGAGAACUUGUAUUUGGUUUUUAACUUAUCUAGAGGCUUGAGUAAGAUACCUUUAUGUUUGGAGCUAAUACUAUAAAACUCUCUCUAUUAAGAUGCGAAUAUUUAGUGCAGGUCCAUUGUUUACCUGUAUUACAUCAGCAGUGGUAAGCAUUGUUAUAUGCUGAUUUGGAAGAGGUAAAAGGAUUAAGAAAGAGUUCUUUGGUAGCCUUUGUGCUUGGAAGCUUUGGUAGCGUUGAGCAAUUCAAUGUACUGAGACAGAAAGAUAGAGGUUUCAGAAGGUCAAAGCCAGUUCUGUUGAGAGCAUGUUGAUUUUAAUAUCCUAGCCAUCAGACUAAUCCAAUCAGAACAUCUGGAGAAAAUUUAUAAUCCUUUCACUGAGUUCAA